rnacentral:rRNA from 1 species
UACGAAGGGUGCAAGCGUUACUCGGAAUUACUGGGCGUAAAGGGUGCGUAGGUGGUUCUUUAAGUCUGCUGUGAAAGCCCCGGGCUCAACCUGGGAAUGGCAGUGGAUACUGGAGAGCUAGAGUGCGGUAGAGGGUAGUGGAAUUCCCGGUGUAGCAGUGAAAUGCGUAGAGAUCGGGAGGAACACCGGUGGCGAAGGCGGUCUGCUGGGCAGUUGCUGACGCUGAGGCGCGACAGCGUGGGGAGCAAACAGG